CCCUUUCCCCAGCAUGCAUCUCUCCUCAUCUCUGCAAAGUUCAGGUUCAGGACAGGCUUCCCUGUGGGCUCUGUGGAGCUCCUGGGUCCAGAAGUCCUUAUGUCAAGGGCACUCAGGGGGUGGGUUGGGGCUGGAGAGGAUAUGCAGGGAUCCUGGAAGGGUAAGGGCCAAGCAAUUUGGUAGUGGGGGAAGGGCAGAAAGGAACUGGGCUAUGGGAAGUGAUCCAAAGAGUGGGGCUGGGAAAUCUGGCUGCAUAUUUGGUCCUGAAAAGGGUGUCUGAGAACCUACCCCCUUCUAAUCUUGUCCAACCUAAAGUGUAGUUGUCUGCCCUGAGCUAUCCAUGCUACUUCCAGCUCUGCCCCAUCCUCCUUCCAGGGUCUGUCCCUGAGUAGGGGCAGGGGAAAUAGGAGCAGAGUUGCAAAAGAGGCUGAGGAGGGCAUGACUUUAUGACUUUGGGGUGAGAGGACCAGCUAGAUGCUUGAGCAUUUAUGGAUGAUAGUUAUUUUAUAUCAUUUGAUUAAUAAAAAUAUUGGAAAAUGUAAAA
rnacentral:lncRNA from 1 species